rnacentral:rRNA from 1 species
CCGGCACGGGUGAGUAACACGUAUCCAACCUGCCGUCUACUCUUGGACAGCCUUCUGAAAGGAAGAUUAAUACAAGAUGGCAUCAUGAGUUCACAUGUUCACAUGAUUAAAGGUAUUCCGGUAGACGAUGGGGAUGCGUUCCAUUAGAUAGUAGGCGGGGUAACGGCCCACCUAGUCUUCGAUGGAUAGGGGUUCUGAGAGGAGGGUCCCCCACAUUGGAACUGAGACACGGUCCAA